UACAGAGGGUGCGAGCGUUAAUCGGAAUUACUGGGCGUAAAGCGUGCGUAGACGGCUAUCUAAGUCGGGUGUGAAAGCCCCGGGCUCAACCUGGGAAUUGCAUUCGAGACUGAAUAGCUAGGGUACGGUAGAGGGAAGCGGAAUUUCCGGUGUAGCGGUGAAAUGCGUAGAUAUCGGAAGGAACAUCAGUGGCGAAAGCGGCUUCCUGGACCAGUACCGACGUCAGGCACGAAAGCGUGGGGGGCAAACAGG
rnacentral:rRNA from 1 species